rnacentral:rRNA from 1 species
UACGUAGGGGGCGAGCGUUGUCCGGAUUUAUUGGGCGUAAAGAGCGUGUAGGCGGCCAGGUAGGUCUGCUGUGAAAACUCGAGGCUCAACCUCGAGACGUCGGCGGAAACCAUCUGGCUAGAGUCCGGAAGAGGAGAGUGGAAUUCCUGGUGUAGCGGUGGAAUGCGCAGAUAUCAGGAGGAACACCGGUGGCGAAGGCGGGUCUCUGGGCAGUAACUGACGCUGAGGAGCGAAAGCGUGGGGAGCGAACAGG